rnacentral:rRNA from 1 species
GACGUAGGAGGCGAGCGUUGUCCGGAUUCAUUGGGCGUAAAGGGCUCGUAGGCGGUUUGUCGCGUCGGGAGUGAAAACCUCGGGCUUAACUCGGGGCUUGCUUUCGAUACGGGCAGACUAGAGGUAUGCAGGGGAGAACGGAAUUCCUGGUGUAGCGGUGAAAUGCGCAGAUAUCAGGAGGAACACCGGUGGCGAAGGCGGUUCUCUGGGCAUGAUCUGACGCUGAGGAGCGAAAGUGUGGGGAGCGAACAGG